rnacentral:misc_RNA from 1 species
GAAAUGCGAUAAUUAAUGUGAAUUGCAUAAUUCAGUGAAUCAUCGAGUCUUUGAACGCACAUUGCGCCCCCUGGUAUUCCGGGGGGCAUGCCUGUCCGAGCGUCAUUGCUGCCCUCAAGCACGUCUUGUGUGUUGGGCUUCCGUCCCUGGCAACGGGGACGGGCCCAAAAGGCAGUGGCGGCACCAUGUCUGGUCCUCGAGCGUAUGGGGCUUUGUCACCCGCUCCCGUAGGUCCAGCUGGCAGCUAGCCUCGCAACCAAUCUUUUUAACCAGGUUGACCUCGGAUCAGGUAGGGAUACCCGCUGAACUUAAGC